CAUGCCAGUGUGAUUUGCUGCCUUCCUCCCCUUCACCUAUAUCUGGCAUUUCUCCCCAUGCUAUCUCUCCCCAACUCCCCACCCGCUGCUGUCCCUCCCCUAUUUCCCCACAACAGACCCCAGUGUGUAGUGCUCCCCUCCCUGUGUACAUGUGUUCUCAUUGUUCAUCACCCGCCUAUGAGUGAGAAUAUACAGUAUUUCAUUUUCUGUUCUUGUGUCAGUUUGCUGAGAAUGAUGGUUUCCAGGUUCAUCCAUGUCCCUACAAAGGACACAAACUCAUCGUUUUUGAUGUCUGCAUAAUAUUCCAUGGUGUAUAUGUGCCACAUUUUCCCAAUCCAGUCUAUCAUCGAUGGGCAUUUGGGUUGAUUCCAGGUCUUUGCUAUUGUAAACAGUGCUACAAUGACAUUCGUGUGCAUGUGUCCUUAUAGUAGAACGAUUUAUAAUCCUUUGGAUAUAUACCCAGUAAUGGGAUUGCUGGGUCAAAUGGAAUUUCUAUUUCUAGGUCCUUGAGGAAUCGCCACACUGUCUUCCACAAUGGUUGAACUAAUUUACACUCCCACCAACAGUGUAAAAGUGUUCCUAUUUCUCCACAUCCUCUCCAGCAUCUGCUGUCUCCAGAAUUUUUUGAGAUGGAGACUCACUCUGUUGCCCAGGCUGGAAUGCAGUGGCCCGAUCUCAGCUCACUGCAAGCUCUGCCUCCCAGGUUCAAGCAAUUCUCAUGCCUCAGCCUUCCGAGUAGCUGAGAUUAUGGGUGUGUGCCACCAUGCCCAGCUAAUUUUUUUGGUACUUUUAGCAGAUACGGGGUUUCACCAUGUUGAUCAGGCUGAUCUUGAACUCCUGACCUAGGUGAUAUGCCCACCUCGGCCUCCCAAAAUGCUAGGAUUGGCUACAGGCCGAAGCCACCGCACCCAGCCCAGUGAGCAUCUUCAUGACCAUUAUUUUGAAUUUUCACAUGUGAUAAAUCAUGUAUGUGCAUUUCAUUACAGUCAAUCUCUGGAGAUUUGUCUUUUUCUUUUGUUUAGAACACCUUUUUAUAUGUCUUCACUUUUCUUGAUUCUGUAUUGGUUUCUUCAUAUUAAACAAUCACCUCUCUCAGUCUUCACAGACUGGCCUAAUAUAAAAGAGCCUUACCAGUUAGUCCAGCCAGAGAUCCUGCCUGGGUCCCCCUCAAAUCUUUAUGGUCAUCUAGACCGUCAUAUUUGUUCUUAGUGACCCCCAGGAGACUAGAAUAUGCCAAGUCCCAUUAGUAUCCUGAAAUGGGCAAGACAGGAGCCAGUCCCUCAUGUAGCAGCUGGUAAAGUUGGGAUGCUAGAUGUGUAGUCCAGUCCUUUCUCUCCUCAAGCAGAAGCUGUGAGCUGGAGUUUAGCAUCCUUUGCUCAGCACUGAGCCAGGAAGGAUAGCUGGGGCAAAUGCCUGCACUCUCAAAGUACACACUUCUCAAACCACUGCUUUGCUCUCUGUCACCUCCAGGGGCUUAGCAAAUGCUAGCAGAUAACUCUGAGAGACAGGUACUUUAACUGCAGGCUUGUUUCUGUCUCCGGAAUGAGCCCCAGAAAGGAGGUGCAGGAGGUGCCCACACACCUAUUCAGGCUGGCGACAAAGCGAGACUCCAUCUCAAGGAAAAAAAAAUACACAAAAAUCAUCCCAAUUUCCUAGAGCUUACACUUAGUAAACCUCAGCAGAGGUUUAUAGCAACAGUCUGGCUCUUCAGCUUAUGUUCAUUUGCCCACUUAUUUGGCAAUUCCUUCCUCAGCAUUAUAUGUCUCAACAUGAUUCUGGUAGAGUGCAAAGGAUGUAGCAUAUCCCAUUGAUGUUUAACAUAUAACUGGUUUCCACUUAUAUCUUCCCAGAUUAUUCUGUGUUCUCUCUCAAGUGUGCUUCAUUCUAGUACAGGAAUACAGUAUUCCUGCCUAGUCAGUAUUCAAAAUUAGAACUAAGGGCACAAGCUAUAGUUUUAAGGGCAUGCAUGUCCCAAGAGGAACAGAGCCAUGCUGGAUUGAAGAGCAUGGGGGUGACAUUUUUAAGACACGGGGAGCAAGGUAGGAUCUCACAGUUGGGGGAUAGAGUUUACAUACUUAUCAUAUCACUAAAUUCCCUGCCGAUAGGGAGAGAGGCAGGAAUGACAGGGUUCUACUGUUGAGGAGAAGGCUAGGAUGGGCCUCCGUGUAAAAAGGCGCUGUUGAAAACAGAGUGUAAGCAAACAAUGAAAGCUGAAGAACAUUUCUGGCAGGCAGAGACAGAAAGAAGGUUAAGAGAAGGUAACCUGGGAACAUAAGCAGUAGAAGUAAAAAAAAAAAGUCUGUGAUUCCAGGGGAGAAUUCAGGAGGGGGAAUGUUGAGUCUACAGAACAUCAGAAAACAUUUUUACUCCUCUUGACGUCACCAAAGAACGUAUUUGACAUGUGGUAUGGCUUUUUAUUUUUCCUUGCUAUUAAUAAGAUACUGAGACCCUGCUACAUGUAAAGCACUGUGACCAAUGUGGUGGGAAAUUAAGAAUUCAUGCUGAUUGUCCUCUCGGGACUUUUAAUCUAGAUGGAGAGACAAGAUAUAUGCCCAGGAAAAGCUCAGUAGCAAUGCAAGGCUGUGUAUGGUUGUGUUCAAUGCUUGUUUGUGUGAAGCCUGGGAUAAUGAGACUCUGUGACAUUCUAAUCCUCACCUGCACUUUCACUGGUUCUGCCCUUCCGUGGUUGGCCUUCCACCUCUUGACCUGAGUGAAGACAGAAUCUCAGGCAGUUCCCUAGUCUGCUCAGUGCUCCCUUUGUAAUCUGCAGUGGUGAGGUCACAUGCUGGAUUCUUCUAUCAAAAUCAAGAAUUCUCUGCUUCUUCCGCUGUCUUCCUUGUUGGCUUCGAUGUGCACUACUGCAACCAAUCCAAGUUUAACCCGUGCAAACACCAGUAACCAAAGUGAAGCCAAUAGCAGACAGAGAGGAAACUGGGUGAGAUGACUACGCUGACCUUGGCAGUGGUGACGAGGCUAACUUCUGAAAGUUCACGUCUAGCCUGUCGUUCGAGACUUCAUAGCCACACACACACUGUUGUUUAACUACUAGAUGCAAUGUCUCCAGUCAUGAAGAUGCAAGUGGAGAUGUAAAAGGAAGACAGUAGUAUGGUCAAGAGACAUGUUUGAUGACUAUUUCUUCAUUCAUUUAUUCAGUUCAUCAGUGAACUAUCAUAUACUGAGAAUCUCCUGUCUCUUUUCAACAAAGGAGGCCGUGGAAGGGGUAAGAGUGACUAAGGUCUCUGAGGAAAGGAAAAGCCGUAUCAUUGGGCCGCAAGAGGGAAAAAGCAGCAAAAGACAGAGAUGUGUUGGUGCCAACUAAAUGAGCAAAACAGCAGUGACUAAAAAAAACACCACUGUACGAGAAGAACAAAACUAAACUAAAACUGCACUGAAGAUGUUUCUCAUCAGCUCUCGAGAGCAGGUUCCGUAACGGUGAACGAUAUUCCACAUACAAGGACUUUCUCAGCACCAUGCAUUGGCAAUUGAACUGGAUGUUUACUAUUUGUUAUAUAAGUUGGUCGAUAUGGCUUCCAGCUUCCCUCAGUAUCAUUAUCCAAAUUUUGUAGAUGAUAAUGAAGGUCAAAGGAGUUAUACCAUUUUCCUCAAAUCAUGUAGCUUUAAAUAGGAAAACCAGAUAUGAAAAGCAGAUUUCUUUUUAAGUUAAAAAACAAAAACACAAGCUCUUGUUUUACCCUAGCACAUAGUCUCCCCGUCUGUUUUCUCCACACCAGGGCAUUCAUGUAACAUUCAUUCACAUAACAAAUACAGAUCAAGGCUGGGCAUGGUGGCUCACGCCUAUAAUCCCAGUACUUUGGGAGGCCGAGGCAGGUGGAUCACAAGGUCAAGAGAUCGAGACCAUCCUGGUCAGCAUGGUGAAACCCUGUCUCUACUAAAAAUACAGAAAAAAUAAGCUGGGCAUGGUGGCGCGUGCCUGUAAUUCCAGCUACUCGGGAGGCUGAGGCAGGAGAAUUGCUUGAACCCAGAAGGCAGAGGUUGCGGUGAGCUGAGAUCGCGUCAUUGCACUCCAGCCUGGGUAACAAGAGCGAAAACUCCGUCUAAAAAAAAAAAAAUACAGAUCAGUGAGUGGAUUCAUUCAUCAGAUAUAAAUUCAGAAUCUCUUUUGUGUCUUCCACAGUAGGCUCCAGACUUCCCAGUGUCCUUGUCUCCUCUCCGUCAAAUCUCACUACCCAAUGUCUUGACAAAUACUGUAGAUCCUUCCUGCACAACAUCUCCAGAAUUAUUUUCUUCCUUUUCACUUCACCUCUGUCUUCAUCCACGCUACCGUGUUUCUGGAGGAUGCAGUCUGCACUCUGAAGUGUGAUGGACACUGGCGCUGGCUGGAGAAAGACUCCUGCCAUCCACCUCAGGAGCCGACACAAUAAACGUGGAUAAACCUCAA